ensembl:lncRNA
GUGUUCCAGAACUGUGGGGAUGUGGCACUGAGGGACGUGGGCAGUGGGCAUGGUGGGGUGGGUGGGGGUUGGGCCUGGGGAUCUCAGAGGUCUUUUACAGCCUUUAAGAUUUCGUGAUUAUAACAGGUGUUGGAGGUGGGAAAACUCCAACGUAAACAAGGAAGAUCCACAUCCUUCUGGAAAUUAAACCCAGCACCUCAGAUGCAGACCCAGCUGAGCUCACCUUCCAUCCAGCAGGAACUGAGGAUGGAGAAUUUGGAGUCCUGGGUGGCAGUGAGCAAUGUGCCUACCAGGAGCUAGGGAAAGCAAAGCCAGAAACCUAAUGGCGUUGUGGAAUAUUUGGAUGUAUCAGACCUCUCCUCUGACCUCCUCCCUUCUGCAGCUUGCUAAAUGUGACCAUUUUUUUUCCACUUCUCCUUUCAGUAUCCACUGAAAAGCUUUUACUUUCACCCUUCAGUACCAAAACCAUCACAGUCUGCUUUCAUCUCAUCCUCUCCUGACAAUUACAUCCACUUGCUUCCCUAUUUUCUUUUCCUUCAAGGCUUCCAUCCACGCUGCUUUUUUAUCUCACUCACCUGCCUGUACCAUCGUUAUUUUCCACAUUGUCCCACACGCUAUUAUGCAUCUAAAACCUGCUUUCAGCAUGGUUAUUUAAGCCCAUUCUCCUGCACUCGGGUAGAUGAAUAUUCCUGUUGAACCUACAGCAAAUCCUCCAGCUUCUGCUGUACUAAAUGCUUUUAAGGGGAUGCUGAAGUCCAGUGGAAGUUUGGACAAUGCAAAACAUUAAAUAGAGCCCUUUGAUAUUUAAAAGCUGAAACUUUUCCAGGCUAAUGCAGGCAACGUCACAUAAAGCUGGCAACACAACCACCUGGGUCCAUUAACUACACUUGCUCUAUAGCAUUUGCUGUCUGAAUUGUUUAUGCCUCGUUUGAGCACGCAGACUACUCGGCAUAUUAAUACUCUGGAAAAGAAUGUGUAGGAUAGAGCUAGAAAUGAGGGACCAUUGGGGGUGCCUGUUGUUAUGCCAGAAUGACGAUGAGGCACAGAGACAACUCUUGAUCAUGUGCCUUUAGAUGACCAAGUGACAGUAAUGACCACUGAAAUCCCACACUGACAAAGACCUCCUCUAAAGAAUCCCUGAAGUCCUUCCACGUGCUCAAGUCAGCCAAUUGAGCUGCCAGGAUGAGAGCUUUGCAUAGAGUGGGGCUUGGUACAAGAAAAGGACACGUGCACAAGGAUGCUCAAUGCAGCAAUAAGGUGGAUAAGGAGCAAAACACUGUCAGGAUUUCCUUUUGCAGAAGAAAAACAUAGCCAAGGACAAAAUCUUUUGUAACACAGGAGAAAAGAACCUUCAGAUAGAAGCCAUUUUGCACGUACUGCUUAUGCUCAAGAAGACAUUUGGGGAUAAAUAUUGGACCUUCUAAUGAAGGUCCUCUGUGGUUGGCUUGUUGCUACUUUACCCAAAGUCAUCUAACCCCCUGUUGGAGAUAUUACACAUCGUUUUCACAUUAGAGCAGUUGGGUGGCAUGAAGAAUUAGCAUGCAAGCAGAGGGAUGCUCAGCAGGGGUAAAUUAGCUGCUUCAAAGAAAAGCAAGAGGCACAUUAGAGCCUGUUCCAGCACAGAAGUCCUUCCCUGCGCUGCAGACAGAUAAUGCAGCAAAGCACAUGGAAGGAGCAGCACUUCCCUUUGAGAACAUUUCCUAAGCUUCCCAUCAGCUGUGGAAAUUUAUUCAAAAGGAAGCAGUCCAAGCAAGAACUUCCAGCAUUCUCCUGCUCAAAACCACUCUCACUACGGCGUUUUGCUUUCACAGCAGAAACGCUGCUAAGGGAUUUUGCCCCCAGGAAAGGGGAACAGAAACUGCCUUUGCAGUGUCUCUGUGCAGAACUGUACUGGCACAAGCUGUUCAGAAGCCACUGCCUGACAUGGCCUGUGUUGUGACACCGGACUGACACAUCCCAUGCCUUCCUUUGUGACCAUGCCACGGGCUUUCUGCAUGAGCAGAACAGACUCAGCAUCUCUGCAUCCACACAGAUAAAGCGUGCGGCUGCGCAUCUCCCAGUGAACCCAAAUACCUCCUUUUAGUCACAGGACCUCCAAAGAUGCACUGAGGCUUGGUCCAGAGAGACAGAAUCCAUCCCCUCCUGGUCACUUCCUCCAAUGAUCCAUCACAGCAGUGCCUAUCUCCUGACCUCCCACUCUGAACCACUCAAACUUCUCACCACCUCCAGCAGACCUGGCAGUACCCAGUACUCUCUCCCCAAGCAAAGAAGUUUGGUUUAGUUUGCUCUUGACACAGUGGGAGAUUUAAGAAGUUCAAGUCCAGACAUUUAUCCCCCUCCUCCGCUGCCCUGCUGCUCUUUGCACAUGUUCUUUAGUUUUUCCCACGUCUAUUUUAAAAGUACGGAUAUCACAGCUAUAUAAACUACUUCACCAGUAUCCCUGUGGAAGCAGCUUCAGGAAGUAAAAACAUCCUUUUUUUCCUAUCCCCUAGCUGCACACCCAUAGAUGGCAUUACUCAUUACUGCACCGUCACUCUGGGAACUCGAGCAGGCUGGUGGGCUGGGAAAAGCCCCAAACCUCUUCCCAGUGCUGACAUCUCUCCAGGCAAAGCCUCCGUGCUGGAGUGCUUCACACCCGACUUGUGGGAAGGUGGUUCAUAAAGUCAUCUGGAUUACUCCAAGCCGUUUAUCACAUUCUGAUAAUGAUUUAUGACUCCAUCGGUUUUCUGAAGCCCACAGAUUUUCUCAGCACCAAUUCCGCGCUUGAUGAAAAUCAUCAGAAUAGGCAGGAUGAAAUUAUUACUACGAAUUACUACGUUCAAACUUAGUAUGGACUACUGCGAUCACAUUUGCAGUGCUGCAGCUUCAUCGCAGCCUUUAUCUGACUUUUAUUUCUCAUACUGGUGAAGAAAUGAGCAGAGAUGAGGGCUUCCACUGCCUUCAACAGCUCUAACACAGCCCAGCCACCCAACGCUGAACUUGUUCACAGCUGUGAUAUGCCACAGGUUCACAGAAAGCACAACGUAUUACAGCCCAUUUCUCUUCACCAAGAAAAAAGGAAUUAAGUGGGAAAAGUCAUCCUUAAAAAUAAAUCUGAUUGUCUACUGACCAUCAGUCAGAAUGAACUUAGAAAACUGGCCAAUCUAAGCAUUAGAUUUUGAGAAGAGGGUUCUCUCAGCCUUAUACGUGAGGCUCAGAGGUAGGGAGGGACUGGGAACGGCAGCUUCUGCUAACCUAGAGAUGCUUCAGACCUCAAUAUACCCACAUACAGAUAUCCAUUUUACUGCUAACACACAACUAUAUGUACAUACGUAUUGUCACAUACACACAUGCACACAGAGCACAAGCCCCACUAACCUUGCACAACAAGAUACAGGGUCUCCAAGAAGCACACAGUGCUCUGAGAACGAUACCCCCGCAGUGCGCUUCCAGCAGCUUCCCAAAAUCACAUGCACUGUAACAGCAGCAAGGAGAGGAUCCAGCUCGAGGGAGGCAUUCAGCGAUGCUUAAGCAACACAGCUUUUCUCUCUCCCGCUCCAACUCCCUGCCCCUGUUCCCCAGCACAUUUCCAAAUUGGCUCAACUUUGGUGGAUUUGCAUGGGAACUGCAAAAGAGACAUCUGCCAAACAUCAAGUCAUUGCUCCCAAGAGCGGGGGCAAGGCAGCCUAGAAGGGAAAAAAUGGUCAGUGUGCUUUCAGUUUUAUUUUUUUCAGUGUAAGAACUGUGUAUUUUCUCAGCCUCGUUCUCCACAACAGCUGAGUUGUUUUCACUGGAGCACUCCCAAGUAGCACAUCCCUUUGCAGACAACUCUCCGAAGCGAAGUUUGACAAAAUAGAAGCGACUGCAAAUAAGGUUUUCAAACACAGAGCACCUGGCAGGCUUUUAAUAAUGACUAUUUCCAUCAGCCCCCACUGCUGGCCAGACAGCAGAGAGGUUUUACACCAACAGCCAUCUAUUCCCACAGGGAAAUAGUGGCUGGAAGAUGCUUAGGAACGCCACCGUUUACCUUUCCCAGAUGAAAUCUGCAUUGAUCUCCUUUCUCUCAUUACCUACCGUAAUCUGCAGUGUUGUUUUGUUGCACUGUCUAAUUAAGGACACAUGUUCCUUUGGAUAAAGAUCUCAACAUCUUGCUCAUCCACAAAAGCUACUCAGCACACAGAUGCUGCUUUGCAAGCAAAACCAUUGAUUUUAGCCACGAAGGUACCGGUUUCACAUGAGCAUUCUAACAAGUGCAUUUAAGCAAAAUUCUCUUUAACCAUCCUUGUGUUCAUGCAUGGAUCCCUCACAGCAGGGUUUCCGAGCGAGCAGAAGAUGAAUGCUUGCUGUGAUACACAGUAUUUCCAUAAUCAGGAUUUCAUGUUACCCAAAAGCAGUUAUUUUGUUUUCUUCGAGUCUCCAGCAAUCCCUGAAACACGUACAGCUUGGGACAACGGAGAUGGGGAGCAGUUGCACACCCUGUGGUAUUUCAGGGGCUGAUGAAAAACAGCAGGGAGACACUCCCAGACACCCUGCUGUCUACAUGUGCCUCUCCAUAUCCACAGCCCGUGAAAUCCCACAUUGCACAAACCCAGGGGCAGCUGAACUGAACGCACUGAGAGCAGCAUGUAACGAGGAGACAGAGAGCUCUGUGAAGGAUGCAGAUACAGCCUGACACUGCUGGUCCUUUGGGCUCCUUCAUUUUGGCAGCAGGGGUCUCCAUGAGGUCCCAUCAAACAGAAAUGACUCAAGCAAGUGAUCUUCCUGAGGGCGAUGGAGAAGCAUGGGUUCUGUGAGGCUCGGGAAUAAGAACAUCAAAUCAAAGCCUGGGAAGCCCGCGCUGCCCUUCGGAAAAUGGCCUGGUAAAUUCUUAUACUGUUAAGUCCUGCCUCUCUACCACAAACUCAGUUGUGCUGAGAGGAGCUGAAGUUGCAAUGAAUACCAGCAAAACAAAAUCGGGGAACAAAAGCUGGCAUCCAGUAAACUGACCAAUGCAUUUGGACAGCAGCAAGCUACUGGCGAGCUGGUGAGCUCCUGGCACCCAGCCCUGUAGCUCCCACAGCAAGGCAACAGCAAGAGAGGAUGGAGGGUGAGUCUGCAGCCCUGUUAGCCCAGGGCUAAUACCUGUGUGCCAACUGCCCUUCCACAGGAAGGUGGGAGCAUCUGUGCUCGUCUACAGCUUCCCAAGCUAUAAGGAAGUCCUCUGAGUACAUCCCAUUUACAAGCAAAACCAGACAGCAACUUUAUGGUCACUAAGCUACCUGUGCAUAGCAAGCCUGCAAAAUCUGCAAGGACUUCCAAUUCGUUGUUAUUAACACAUUCUUUGUAUUAAUCUUCCCCAAGUGAUCCAUUGUGGGAAUUUAUGUAUGACCCUCUAUUGAAAACCACAGUAACUCUCUCCCUGAACAUACCACGGAGCUUGAACACAUGAAAGCAGAGAGCCUGAAGAGGCUGAUGAGAAUCAUUUGCCAGUAACACUGGGAAGGACAAUCUGGUUUUAUGGGACAUUUUAUAGUAUGUUUUUCCAAAUUAAAACUAAAACAGUUCCCAGAUGGAAGCUGUACCAUUUCAACUUCAACCUUAGAAAUACUUUGUUGUUGUUGUUGCUUUUAAAAACAUGCAAAGCUUCAGGAAAUCUGAGCUCACAGAAGGGCUGGCAGCUCUUUGCAUCGCUCAGAGAAGACUCAGGCAUGAUGGCACAAACCUUGACAUAUUUUUUUGGUCAGAGAUUCAAAUAAUAAGGAAAAGUUCGUUUCAGAGCAGCAGCAAAGUUUGCCCUUAUUUCUACAAUGCGUGCAUCAGACUGUGGAAAAUUUCCUUACAAAGCUCCAGGCAUCUACACAGGCAGCUGGAGUGGGAAACGUAUUUCCUUGCUCACAGUGUGCUAAUCCAGUGACUCUGAACUAAAUAGCUUGCUUCUGCAAAUUGAUUAUUUUAUUUUUCGAAGUGUCCCAUAUAGAUGAAACGUGGCCCUAAUACACUUUCCAAGUCACAGCUUUUUCCCAGGAAGCAACGUCUAAAGCUUGAAUGUAGCUUUUAAUUUGCAUCAUCAAUGCUUAACGCAGACAAUAGUCUGGCUCAUCCCUUCAUGCUUAUUUUGGUGCUGGAAAGGCAACAAAGAACAGAGUAUUUUUGUCAAGCAAUUGCAAAUGCACAGAAUUAGAGAAGAUAUGGGAGAUGAAAGCAGGGUCUUUGCUUACUUCUGAGAGCAUGCAAAGGUGCAGCUAGCACCUGGCUCCAUCUGCAUAUCACAGAACCAGAGAACAGCCUGGGUUGAAAAGGACCACAAUGAUCACCUGGUUUCAACCCCCUGCUAUGUGCAGGGUUGCCAACCACCAGACCAGGCUGCCCAUGACACAUAUUCCUAAUUUGUUAAGGACAAAUGUGGAAAUAGUUUCAUCUACAGGACCACAGGGAUGGAAAGCACAGGUCACCGUCCCUUGACCAGGCACCUCCAGCCACCUGUCCUCAUUCCUUCUGCAGGCACUUCUCAUCCCAUACCUAACGCUGCCCUUAUUCUGAUUUCUGGCUCCUUCCCAAACCCUCUCUCUCCCCUCCCCCCUUCUCUUUGGUGUCAUCGCCAACACCCACUUUCAAUCUCCAUUACAGUUUCUGCUGGGUGCAGAGAUCCUGUUUCAGCUGAUCACUACAACACUGCCUGUGCUUUGCAUUAAGGGAGGAUCGAGUUAUGCCACAGCUCAUCAAAGCCCACGACACUGUCAGUAACCACUACAUCAGCUUUCACCCUGCCUGAUGGAAGAGAAAACUGCCUUGGCCAUACUAGAGAGGCCAGAAGGGAAAAGUAUAGUUAUCGUUGUAACAGGAUCUCGUAAUGGAGUGAAAAUUGUGCUGUCAACACAAGCAGGACACACCAUGCUGGAGAAGUUUUCCUUUUUCCAAAGGACUUCAGGCAGCACAGACAGAAGCAGAAACACCACCUGAUCCCACAUGCAUUUGUUCCUCAAAUUAUUCUCCAAACCUGUUCCUGGUCCAUCUUCCUGGUAGGUCUAUCUUAGCUGUACUCACAGAUCUCUUUAUGAAGUAAUUACAAAUGCUUAUUUCAAACAGUAUGAUAUUAAUCUCAGGGACAGAAAACUCUCAGUGGUUGCUAUCACCCUGCCACAAGGUUCCAUGGGAUCCACGCCACGGAUUGCCCUGAACCCAUUCUUUGCUAGAGGGGGCAUUGAAGGAGGUUGGUAAGCACCACACUCCCAAUAACAGAAAGUGCAGGUGUCCAGAUUCACUUCUGCUUGCUGAAAACCCCAGGACACUGCAAGAUCAGAAUAAGAAUACCAAUCAUAGAUAUUUAAUGCGAUAAUUUGACAGGCUGAGGGAGCUGGGCUUGUUCAACCUGGAGAAAAGAAGGCUGCAGAGUGACCUCAAUGCAGCCUUUCAGUACCUAAAGGGAGCCUACAAACAGGAGGGCAGUCAACUCUUUGAAAGGGUAGAUAAUGGCAGGACAAGGGGAAAUGGUUUUAAGUUGAAGAAGGGAGGAUUUAGGUUGGAUAUCAGGGAGAAGUUCUUUACCAAGAGAGUGGUGAGGUGCUGGAACAGCUGCCCAGAGAGGCUGUGGAUGCCCCGUCCAUCCCUGGAGGUGUUCAAGGCCAGGUUGGAUGGGGUCCUGGGCAGCCUGGGCUGGUAUUAGAGGUGGAGGUUGGCGGCCCUGCCUGUGGCAGGGGGGUUGGAGCUUCAUGAUCCUUGAGGUCCCUUCCAACCCGGGCCACUCCAUGAUUUUGAGAAAAGCUUCAGACCAGUC